rnacentral:rRNA from 1 species
CCUACGGGUGGCAGCAGUGGGGGAUAUUGGACAAUGGGGGAAACGCUGAUCCAGCGACGCCGCGUGAGUGAAGAAGUAUUUCGGUAGGUAAAGCUCUGUCAGCAGGGAAGAAAGAAAUGACGGUACCUGACCAAGAAGCCCCGGCUAACACCGUGCCAGCAGCCGCCGUAAUACGUAGGGGGCAAGCUUUAUCCGGAAUUACGGGGUGUAAAAGUAGCGUAGAUGGUGAUGCACGUCUGGAGUGAAAGGCGGGGGCCCAACCCCCGGACUGCUCUGGAAACUGUGUAACUUGAGUGCAGGUGAGGUAAGCGGAAUUCCUAGUGUAGCGGUGAAAUGCGUAGAUAUUAGGAGGAACACCAGUGGCGAAGGCAGCUUACUGGACUGUAACUAACGUUGAGGCUCGAAAGCGUGGGGAGCAAACAGGAUUAGAUACCCUUGUAGUC